AUUUCCUUAUCCCGUCUGCCGUUCUCUCACCUCGAUCCCCUUUUCUGGUCCUUUUCUCAUCAGAUCCGCUUCGCCUCUACUGCUUUGCCUCUCCUCGUCUCCGUGUGAUUCGCCAUCACCACCUCGCCACUUCCCUAAUGGUUGUGACGGCGGCGCUCGCUGGAUGGCAUGGUGGAGGUGGUAGAGGGUGGCGGAGGCGGAGCAGUCAAGGGCCUCGGCGCCGUGCGUGUGGUGGGGCAGAAAGUGGAAGGGGAAGGGUGACGCCAUCCAGAGAAGGAGGCAGAGGAUCUAAAGGAUCGAGCCUGCCCCUCACGCAAUGUGUGCGGGUGAUAGUUUGUUCAGCAGCAUGGACCAUGCCAUGAAAUUGGUGACGGCAAGACUCCCAGACUCAUAUGACAAAAAGGAAGGAGUUGUAGGAGAUGGAACCACUGGUGGGUGGUAGAAUUUUUUUCUGUUGAGGGCGACAGUGUGUAGGAGCAACCUUUCCUUUUUAGGACAAUGUGUGGACAUGAAUUUACUUUUUUGGGGUGUGUGCUCCAGGGGACUAGCCAGCCAACGGUUGCUGGCUAGUCGUGUCCUAGGUCAAAUGGGUCUGAAACUUUUUGCACUGUCUUUCUUUACAAAUUAUUUAUUUUUC